rnacentral:rRNA from 1 species
AUUGAACGCUGGCGGCAUGCCUAACACAUGCAAGUCGAACGGCAGCACGGCAGUAGCAAUACUGUGGGUGGCGAGUGGCGGACGGGUGAGGAAUACGUCGGAAUCUGCCCAGUCGUGGGGGAUAACUAGCCGAAAGGUUAGCUAAUACCGCAUACGACCGAGAGGUGAAAGCGGGGGACCGCAAGGCCUCGCGCGAUUGGAUGAGCCGACGUCGGAUUAGCUAGUUGGUGGGGUAAAGGCCCGACCAAGGCGACGAUCCGUAGCUGGUCUGAGAGGAUGAUCAGCCACACUGGAACUGAGACACGGUCCAGACUCCUACGGGAGGCAGCAGUGGGGAAUAUUGGACAAUGGGCGCAAGCCUGAUCCAGCAAUGCCGCGUGUGUGAAGAAGGCC